rnacentral:rRNA from 1 species
AUUGAACGCUGGCGGAAUGCUUUACACAUGCAAGUCGAACGGUAGAGGGGGCAACCCCUCGAGAGUGGCGAACGGGUGAGUAAUAUAUCGGAACGUGCCCAGCCGUGGGGGAUAACGUAGCGAAAGUUACGCUAAUACCGCAUACGAUCUAAGGAUGAAAGCGGGGGAUCGCAAGACCUCGCGCGAUUGGAGCGGCCGAUAUCAGAUUAGGUAGUUGGUGGGGUAAAGGCUCACCAAGCCAACGAUCUGUAGCUGGUCUGAGAGGACGACCAGGCACACUGGAACUGAGACACGGUCCAGACUCCUACGGGAGGCAGCAGUGGGGAAUUUUGGACAAUGGACGCAAGUCUGAUCCAGCCAUUCCGCGUGCAGGAUGAAGGCCCUCGGGUUGUAAACUGCUUUUGUACGGAACGAAAAGGUCUCUCUUAAUACGGGGGACUCAUGACGGUACCGUAAGAAUAAGCACCGGCUAACUACGUGCCAGCCGCCGCGGUAAAAC